GGCUUGUUGAAUAUAAUUUUAAGUCUAGCCUGCCCACUGAGUAGUUAAAUGGCCGCGGUAUAUUGACCGUGCAAAGGUAGCAUAAUCACUAGUUUUUUAAUUGGAAGCUUGAAUGAAAGGUUUGAUGAGAAAAGGACUGUCUCUGUUUAAAUUUAUUAGAAUUUUAUUUUUAAGUGAAAAAGCUUAAAUUUUUAUAGAAGACGAGAAGACCCUAUAGAGUUUUAUAUACAAAUAGAAGUAUAUUUAAAAGGUAAGUGAAUAAUAGGGUUUUAUUUGUUUAUUUGGUUGGGGUGACAGAAAUAAUUUAAAGAACUUUUUUUGUAUGUAAACAUUGAUUUAUGGAUAGUUGAUCCUUUAAUUUAGAUUAUAAGAAAAAAUUACCUUAGGGAUAACAGCGUAAUUUUUUUUAGAGUUCUGAUCGAAAAAAAGGAUUGCGACCUCGAUGUUGGAUUAAAAUUAAUUGUUGGUGUAGAAGCUAAGAAUAUUAGGUCUGUUCGACCUUUAAAAUUUUACAUGAUCUGAGUUUAGACCGGUGUGAG
rnacentral:rRNA from 1 species